UGCAGGCUUUAGAAAACUCUUGGAAGGAUUCGUGUGACGAAUUAGAUGUCUAAAUGGAAAAUUUAUCUCUUUCUGACGUAAAUUACGGUGAGUGCUGAUAGCUUGUUUAUAUGAAAGCCAUAUGUUGGCGGAUGUGCCAUGGAUUAUAUAAGGAUGUGUUAAAAAUAUAAACAAUUGGCGACUAGGUAUAUGAUAAUUGUAGUUGAUCAAGAAGUAAUUUUGCACACACUUUUUUAGAUAUAGAUGACAUAAAAAAUUUGCUUUCAAACUUGGAAGUCUCUGUUUUGGUCCUCAAUGAAAUAUGGGAAACUAUCCUAUCCACAUAUAAACAUGACGGUGGCGAUAUAUCUGGUAUUAAAGCUAGCU